GUCCUCCACUGUAUGGCAGUUCCCAGAAACCAGAACGUGUGUGUACUGUUUUGUUGAGGUCUGUUGUGACUUAUUUGACAUCUCUUCCUGUUUCACGGGUUAAAGAUUUUUUGAAGUAAAGAGGAGCAUCUCAUCUGAUCUGAACCUGAUGUCUAUCAUGGAUAUUUAACUGCAGUUCUGUGAGUAUCCCAACUCAACCAUUAAGAUGAACUGCAAACUGUGUCUGCCUCCUUACCCAGAGCAAGACCUCCACCUCCUCACCCAGAGCAAGACCUCCACCUCCGGUCAGAAGUCCUCCAGAACAGCUGAAAGGUGAGGCUGAGAGGCUUGGGACCGGAGGCUUGUGGCGCCAGGAUGGACCGGAGACUGAGGCUGGAGACCAGUGGCCUGCAGCACUGGACCAGAGGACCAAGAAUCCAUGGCUGAAGGAGCUGAUGGAGGAGGCGUACUGAAGGAGCUGAUGGAGUCGUGCUGAAGGCCCUGCCUAGUGGAGGAGCUGAUGGAGGCCCUGCCUGGUGAAGGACGUCUGUCGUGGGGUAGAUGGAGCCUGACUCUGAAGUGAUCAUCACACUCACUGCCACUUCUCGUAGAAUACUGCUACCACAAACUACCGGCGUUUGUACCAUAUAUACCAGACGACUACAUCUGUUUUACCACAUGUUGAAGCAAGACUUCCGCUGUUUGUUCCAGACCAGGACUCUGAGGAGAGCUGCUGGAGGAGCUGAGACGUUGGAGGACGACUAGGAACCGACCAACAAGGAUUCCUCAUAAGUUUGUAUUUAUUUACAUGGUUGACUUAAAGGGCAAAAUACAGCUGUUACUUUGACAUGCGUUAACCAACUACCGCUGUGUUUUCUUACUGGAACGUGUUUCUGGAGCGGAGGCGAGCUGGUAGGGGAGCCGUGAAUCUGGAGGAUGACCAUCACUCGACCAACAAGGAUUGCGUUAGGGCCAGACUCGCGCUGUUUGUUCCAGACCAGGACACUGGCUGAGGAGAGCUGAUGGAGGAGCCAAGAGUCUGGAGGACGACAUCACUCUACCAACCAGGAUCCUCACCAGGAAUCUGGAGGACUGAUGGAGAAGCUUUAUAUCUGGAAGGCAAAUCCUGAGGACCACCAGGACUCUACCAUCAAGGAUUCCUCACACACCUGAGCUGAACCCUACCUGAUCCUGUUUGGUCGGGGGUAGACACACCUGAGCUAAACCCGUCCUGAUCCUGACAUCCUGCUGGUCCUGUCUCCUCAGUUCAUCUGAGCCUCGUCCUCCAGAAGACCUGCUGAGCUCAGCAGUCUGAGGCUGAUGGAUCAAUGACCUCCAGUGGGAGUGAUCUUCUUGACCCCACAUGUAACCGUGUGCUUCCACACGCCUUUCUCUCACGUCUGUCACUAACCUCACUACUUCACUACUCUCUACUGCUUCCUCUUUUCUUCCUUCUCUGUGGUUCAAACCUUUACACUGAAGGCGCGUCUUCCUGCCCUCAGAGGGUUUAGCAUUAGGGUUGAGAGUCAGGGUUUAGAGUCAGGGACAGAGCUGUUCAGGGAGGACUGCUUUUACACAAACCUCUUCACUUGCUUUCGGAAUGGUGGUGUCAUUUUGAAAAGAUUCAUUUGGGAAAAUGUUUUCCUCUGCUUUCCUUUACAAAAUUGUAUUAAACUUCUGUCAAGUGUUUUUGUUUAUUAAAAUCCCACAUUGACUUCUACAUGUUUGGUGCGGUUCAUUUAAUUGUCCUUUAACUUGGUUAAUGUCAAGCUAAACUCCUGCAAUACAUUUAAUAUACAUGAUUGUUAUUCAGCAAUGUUCACAUAAUGCAUUUUGUAAAAAUAUGAAACCUCCAUAUUGCUACGAUAUUCAAGCCUAUUCAUGCAUUUAACAAUGUACAUACUGCCCUGCAGGCCAUUCUCUGCUACUUCAACACGUUCAGUCCACCAACCCGUCUCACAUCAAUGUAGCUACGUUGGUUCAAACGGAAAAUGUAGUUUGGUGUGAGACUGUUGUCCAGCAGAGGGAGCCAUCAUACACCUUAAUUAUACAGGAAUGCCUAUUUACAUUUUAAGAUGUUCAUGUGCUGGUCUAGUUUGUCUGCAAAUAACUCUGCCUCCAGCAACAGGAUUGGUCGAAACAUAUGAUGUGAAUAUUUGAGUCAGUGUGUGACGUGACUUUACAGACAAAUCGAU
ensembl:lncRNA